ACUCAGAUUUCCCGCCGGCUUUUCAAACCAUAUUUGCAUGUCCCCGCCCCUCAACCCGCCGAGGACCGUUCCCGCAGCCCAUUGGGCCUCUGGCUCCCUGCUUAAGGCCCAAUCGCGGCGCGGGGCCGCGGCCUGCUGGCUUCCAUUGGCUACCGUGCAUCACGGUUACCGGGGCGACAGGGGCUCCAUUUGCAUAGGCCUCCUUGAUUGGCUGGGCGGGAGCAGGAUUUUUUUUUUUUCUGGGGGGAGGCGGGGCAAAGCCCUUCCUUCUCUCCCACGGAAAGCCACGCCUCGUCCAGGCCCCGCCCGGUCCCCGCCCGCGCGCGGGGCGGGCGCUGCUGACCUGGGCAGGCGCUCCGCGCCCCGCAGACUCAGUGCGCAUCUAGUCCCGAGCGCAAGUUUCGCUUUCAGAAAUUGUCAAGGUGACCAAGGGGACACUUGCGGGAACUCUCCUUCCUUUGGCCAGCCAGUGUGAUAGAUGCACACCAGCUGGAGAUUCUGCCACAUAAUGUUCCAAAGGCAAGUUGGACCAUGCGGACCAUGCCUGGCAGAAGAGAAGAAAACGUAGAGGAGGUAUGAGAGCAGAGGCGGAGAGGCGGAGAAUGAAGUGUUGUGUCCACAAGCCAAGGCACACCAAGGAUUGCCAGUUACCGGAAGCUGCGAGACAGACAUGGAGCAGCUCCAUGGAGGAAACAUCCCUACUGCCAUCUUGAUUUCAGACUUCUGGCCUCCAGAACUGGGAGAGAAUAAAUUUCUGUUGUUUUAAGCUA